rnacentral:rRNA from 1 species
AGGACGAACGCUGGCGGCGUGCUUAACACAUGCAAGUCACGGGGGUCCGUAGCGAUACGGAGAACCGGCGAACGGGUGCGUAACACGUGAGCGACCUGCCAUACCCGCGGGGGAUAGCCGGCCCAACGGCCGGGUAAUACCGCAUACGCUCCUUUGGCCGCAUGGCUGGGGGAGGAAACUUCCGGGGCGGGAUGAGGGGCUCGCGGCCUAUCAGCUAGUUGGUGGGGUAACGGCCCACCAAGGCGUCGACGGGUAGCUGGU